rnacentral:lncRNA from 1 species
CAGUAACGUCCUGAGCCCUCACAUUCACUCACUCAGUCACCCAGAGCAACUUCCAGCCCUGCGAGCUUUAUUCAUGGUGCCGUGGCUCAUGCCUGUAAUCCCAGCAUUUUGGGAGGCCGAGGUGGGCAGAUCACCUGAGAUCGGGAGUUCGAGACCAGCCUGACCAACAUGGAGAAACCCCGUUUCUACUAAAAAUACAAAAUUAGCUGGGCAUGGUAGCGCACGCCUGUAAUGCCAGCUACUCGGGAGGCUGAGGCAGGAGAAUCACUUGAACCCAGGAGGUGGAGGUUGUGGUGAGCCAAGAUUGUGCCAUUGCAGCCUGGACAACAAGAGUGAAACUCCGUCUUAAAUAAAUGUACUUCAAUUAAAAUCAUACAAAAUGUAACUGUACUGUUUUGCUAAAUUACAUUACAGAGAGUUUGCAUGAGUUUACACCUAUUUUUCAAGUAUCAUUAUUUAAAAGAAAUCUUUGUCAACAAAGGAAAAUGUAAAAUCAUGUAUUAUUUUAAUUUUCAUCUUUUAUUGAAUUAAAAAUUAAUUUAUUG